rnacentral:rRNA from 1 species
AUUGAACGCUGGCGGAAGGCCUAACACAUGCAAGUCGAGCGAGCGGCGCACGGGUGAGUAAUGUCUGGGAAACUGCCUGCUGGAGGGGGAUAACUCCUGGCAACGGUAGCUAUUACCGCAUACCAUCAGAUGUGCCCAGAUGGGAUUAGCUAGUAGGUGGGGUAACGGCUCACCAAGGGGACGCUCCGUUACUGGUCUGCGAGGAGGAUAAGCCCAACUGGAAACGGGAAACGGGCCAGAAUCCUACGGGAGGCAGCAGUGGGGAAUAUUGCACAAUGGGCGCAAGCCGUAGUCAGCCAAGCCGCGUGUGUGAAGAAGGCCUUCGGGUUGUAAAGCACUUUCAGCGGGGAGGCGUUACCCGCAGAAGAAGCACCGGCUAACUCCGUGCCAGCAGCCGCGGUAAUUC